CUAGGGGCCAACAUGUUUUUAAAAUUUUUAUUCUUUUUAAAAAUCACCACCGGAUGUUCAGAUAAAGAAUUACCCAAGACUGGAUCUUGUUGUAAAAUGGGCCAGAAUUCGCUAAAACUCCUUUUGCUCUUAAAAUGGUCAGUAUUAUACUGGGUGACAAAGGCUGAUUUAAAAUUAGUGUUAGCCACAGCCGCAGGAACUUUGUCCUCCAACAGUGUAUUACGUUCAAGGAGACCAAUAUAUGAAUUUAUUUUUCCAAGGUG